AUCCACAUCUCAGGUUUGUUCUCUGACCUUUGAUCUCUAAGCAUCAUUACAAGAAAAACAGCUACAACUUGUCCAACAAAAGCACUAUGACUAAGGAGAGGACUCACUAAAAUGAACUAGAAGCUAGUUUUGUGAACUAGGUAGAGACUUCCAUCUGCUACACCUCUACCUAGCCACUCUAAAGGGUACUAAUAUAUGGGUAAGGUUCUACAUUUUAAAUGUCAUGUGUCUAUGAAUUUGAAAUGGGCUGCACUCCACUUACCAAGUGCAUCAUUCGACGGCAACCAUGUUUUGGAUGUAGUUUAAUAAUGAGACACAUGUUCUGCUUGAAGCACUAAUUUAUCCCUUUAUUAGUAUUAUGAAGGGCCUAUUUGGAUGUCAGACACUGCACUCUUCAAAUAUCACCCACAUGGAUGGGAGUUGAUGAAUGGGGAAAGGGAAAGAAGAGAAAAUGUGAGGAAUCUAGAGAGAAAGGCCAUUGAACUCAGUUUCAAGUUCUUUAGGACACCAAAAUCCAUCCAAGAAGAUGAUUUUUCACUAUCCUAAAUAAUUUCAGAUAUUAAAAUCUACAGAUUCCCCCAAUCCUCAGAUUUCAUUGUCCUUCCACCUUUUCUUUUUUUUUAAAACAAAAACUUCCCUCUUGCAGGAAAUAUAUUGCAGGAAUAUGCUGGUUGGAUGUCCAGAUUUGCCCUAAAAUAGUAACAACAUCAGUUAGGAUCUAAUCCAUGAUUGAAAUGUUUAUACAACUGAAUUGCAGCUUGCAUCAAGCAUUAAACUAUGAAGGAAUGUUAGCUUGGGGAGGGGUGUGCUGGGGAGAAGGACUUCUCUCGACGUACCUUAAUAUAUAGUACUUCAUUAAAAAUAAUGAAUGUCACUCUGGAAAAUUUAUGGAAAAAGAAUAUUUGACAUAGGGACGGCAUUUGAAAGGUAGAUUGGAGGUAUUGAUAAAAUUAGUAUCCUUUAGUAUACCAGUCACCAGAAUUACAGUAUGUGUAGAAAUGGUUUUCAUUACUCAAUGUUAUUACUAUUCAUGAUAAAAGACCUCAGAAUUAGCACUUGUAUUUUCAUUUCCGAUAAGGAAAAUAGGAUAUGGAAUUUCAUAGUCCUAAAGUUCUAAAAGAAGUGUUCUGGAUUUAUUGGCUAUGAAAGAAAGAAUUAAUGUGAUAGUUGCAUGUGAAAGAUAUAAUCUAGAUGACAUGCUAAUGUGAGUCUUAAUUAAGCAACGAUGUUAUAUUCCCUACCUAUUCAACUACUUUAAUCCCUCAAACUUCACAGGUAUAUAUCAAAAUGAUCCAAAGAAGGCAGAGUCAAAAGGAAAUAUAGUAAGUAAAGAAGCCACAGAAUGUACCUUACUUAUCUGAGCUAUGCACUAGGGCUGUCUUAAUACAAGCAUUUGAUGUACUU
rnacentral:lncRNA from 1 species